GUCCAGACCGAGAUACGCGAAAGAUCAUCAUUAAUCUUAGCAAUGGUAUCAUCAAGACGGUCGAUGCUAGUUUGUGCAUAAAGCUGCAAGUCAUCAGCGUAAAGGUGGUACUGACAGGAAAGUAUAGAAGUAAUAGAAUUAAUGAAUAGUGAGAAUAGUAGUGGGGAGAGAAUUCCACCCUGAGGAACGCCCGCAGCAACGUCGCACCAAUCAGAACGCUUAGAGCCAAUGCAUAUCGCUUGCUUGCGUCCCCAAAGAUAUGAAGAAAACCACUGAAGAGCAACGUCAGAGAUGUUAAUUCGAGAUAUUAGAGCGAGUAACAAAUCGUGAUCCACCGCGUUAAAAGCGUUACUAAAAUCUAUAAGUGUUAGAAUUGUCACGUAUUUGUUCUCCAUCCCCUCUCUUAUAUCCUCGGUCACUUUAAUCAGAGCAGUAGUAGUAUGUUAUAAGUUUU